AUGAGGCAAUUUCCUGGAAAGCAUUACCAACUAGAAGGAGCAACUGUGAUAAGAGCUGAGGUUCAGCCACUCUUGUACAGCAGCACAUACACGACUAUGAGGUUUCUAGAGACAGGCGCAAGAGAACCCUUGACUUUCUUCUGUAUGGCUAGGUCCUGGUGGUUACCCUUGAUCAAGAUCAUGGUAAAGUAAACUUGAGGAAAUUUACCUGUCCUCCUGGUGAAGUGCUAAAAGUCUAAGUGCCAGCUUUCUAAAAGUCUUUAGAAGGAAUGAGAAACUAAUCUUUCUGUGUCUGAAGACCUAGGGAAUUUAAAGAAAUUAAAGGAUAUGUUUGGAAGAAGGAAAAGCCUGCAGUGUAUGCCAUCAUCAGUUUCUAAUCAUCCCCAGCUCCUCCCCAAGUUCUCGUUUUCAUAAAGAUAAUUUAAAAACAACACGCAAGUGGUUCAGCCUGUCUCUGUGUAUUAUAAUUUGUUUAAUGCCCUGGUACACAAGUAUAGAUUUGGUGGAUUGUUUUUCCUGUAGUCAGAGGACUGACUAGGGUGGAUAAAUUAAUAAGCAGGAGGUUCCUGCAUGUUGGAAUUAGCC
rnacentral:lncRNA from 1 species